rnacentral:rRNA from 1 species
UGGGGAAUAUUGCGCAAUGGGGGGAACCCUGACGCAGCCAUGCCGCGUGAAUGAAGAAGGCCUUCGGGUUGUAAAGUUCUUUCGGUAUUGAGGAAGGUUGAUGUGUUAAUAGCACAUCAAAUUGACGUUAAAUACAGAAGAAGCACCGGCUAACUCCGUGCCAGCAGCCGCGGUAAUACGGAGGGUGCGAGCGUUAAUCGGAAUAACUGGGCGUAAAGGGCACGCAGGCGGUUAUUUAAGUGAGGUGUGAAAGCCCUGGGCUUAACCUAGGAAUUGCAUUUCAGACUGGGUAACUAGAGUACUUUAGGGAGGGGUAGAAUUCCACGUGUAGCGGUGAAAUGCGUAGAGAUGUGGGGGAAUACCGAAGGCGAAGGCAGCCCCUUGGGAAUGUACUGACGCUCAUGUGCGAAAGCGUGGGGAGCAAACAGGAUUAGAUACCCUGGUAGUCCACGCUGUAAACGCUGUCGAUUUGGGGGGUUGGGGUUUAACUCUGGCGCCCGUAGCUAACGUGAUAAAUCGACCGCCUGGGGAGUACGGCCGCAAGGUUA